GCUGCUGUGAUGUGAGCUGAGCAUCUGCAAGCAUGGCCCAGCUUGCCUUGUGCGGAUACCCCACAGAAGC
ensembl:miRNA gga-mir-1696 gga-mir-1696